GCCCACCCCACUUUCCUUCUUCCCGCAAACUCGAAAACUCUCAGCCCUCUCUCUCUCUCUCUCUCAGCACUCUCUCCUCCACCAAGACAACCCCACACACAAACCUUCGGUCUCAAACCAUCUCACCACUAGAUUAUUAUCAUCUCCACCCCUACGAAUUUAAUCCAAAAUCUGAGAACUCAAACCCCCGAGCUCUCCGGCAAGAAUCAGGACAAGAUCCGACUGGUAUCAAACUUGGGCUCAACCUCUUCCAAUCUCAGCUUUUCCGGUGAAGAAGUUCUGCAAUGUCUCAUUUAAUCCGAGAUGUUUUGGACUCGAAAUUUUCCUUCUGAAAAUCCGGUGACAUUCCUUGGAUUUUCCCGGCGAAUUUGUGACGGACUUGACCACCUGGUGCCCAAAUAUGUGUUUAGAAAAUGGGUAAGCACCACCGGUGCCAUGUUGGUGGAAUCUCGAUGAAUCCGAGAUUAAUUGGUCCAAAAUCCUCCUAAAUUGAAAUCUCGGUGCAAAUAUUAUGAGGCACAACAUAGAAAAUUAGGCACCUAGGAUCGUGCUCGCAAUUCGCUUCUCAUUAAUAGCACGGAUCACUAUUCAAAAAAGAAAAAGACAAAUAAAGAAAAGGUAGGAGAACCUGGGGAAUGGAGAGAGAGGAAGAGGAGGAGAAAAAUGAGGUUUAUUUAUUUAUCUUUAAAAUUUUAAAUAGGAUAUGCUAUAUUUACAUGGCUGUGAUAUUAGUAUAAAAAAAAAGUAAAAUUUGUGUUAGGCAUAAUUACUAAAGUGUUCAUGGUUUUUAUUUUUGUUCAGUUCUGGUGAGAGGGCUAGAGUGGUAAUUUGCUGGAGUUUUGGUUAACAAAUAGGGUUUUAUUAAGAGUGAUGUUAUUCCCACCCCCAUUGUCUUAUCUUUUCACUCAUCUUUUAUUGAAUAUUUUAAUUACAUAUUUGUUCAUUUGUAAAAUGACUUAUAAGGACAUUAAUUAUCCUCUUUUGCAGUUAAAAAAAAGGGUUGGGUUGCACUCUUAGUCUAUCCUAAACCCUAACUCAUCUUUCCAUCUCUUUUCAUCUAGAAGAAGCCAAAAAAAAAAAAAAACAAGAUUUAGAUGACUUUUUUGUUGAAGAAGUGGAAGGUGACGUUUCUAUGGAAGAGGUAGAAGAUUAUAUUUUUAUUGAAAAGGUAAAAGAAUAAUUUUGUACGUGGGUCUUUUGCAUUUGCCGCACCAUAUAUAUGUCGUUGAAGUUUUACUUUUGAAUUUGGAUAUCUCAGUGUUUUCCAAUUGAAUUUGCAUACUUGUGACUUCAAUAUCAGCAAAAGGGAUUUGGCAAAA